UACAGAGACUGCAAGCGUUAUUCGGAUUCACUGGGCGUAAAGGGUGCACAGGCGGCCAAGUGUGUUAGGUGUGAAAGCCCGGGGCUUAACCCCGGAAUUGCACCUAAAACUACAUGGCUAGAGCAUUGGAGGGGGGAGCAGAAUUCACGGUGUAGCAGUGAAAUGCGUAGAUAUCGUGAGGAAUACCAGAGGCGAAGGCGGCUCCCUGGACAAUUGCUGACGCUCAGGCACGAAAGCGUGGGGAGCAAAAGGG
rnacentral:rRNA from 1 species